rnacentral:piRNA from 1 species
UGCCUUCUCACCCUCGCUUUGGACC